rnacentral:rRNA from 1 species
GAGCGAAAGCGUGGGGAGCGAACAGGCUUAGAUACCCUGGUAGUCCACGCUGUAAACGGUGGGUACUAGGUGUGGGGUCCAUUCCACGGGUUCCGUGCCGUAGCUAACGCUUUAAGUACCCCGCCUGGGGAGUACGGCCGCAAGGCUAAAACUCAAAGGAAUUGACGGGGCCCCGCACAAGCGGCGGAGCAUGCGGAUUAAUUCGAUGCAACGCGUAGAACCUUACCUGGGUUUGACAUGGAUCGGGAGUGCUCAGAGAUGGGUGUGCCUCUUUUGGGGUCGGUUCACAGGUGGUGCAUGGCUGUCGUCAGCUCGUGUCGUGAGAUGUUGGGUUAAGUCCCGCAACGAGCGCAACCCUUGUUCACUGUUGCCAGCACGUUAUGGUGGGGACUCAGUGGAGACCGCCGGGGUCAACUCGGAGGAAGGUGGGGGUGACGUCAAGUCAUCAUGCCCCUUAUGUCCAGGGCUUCACGCAUGCUACAAUGGCUGGUACAGAGAGUGGCGAGCCUGUGAGGGUGAGCGAAUCUCGGAAAGCCGGUCUCAGUUCGGAUUGGGGUCUGCAACUCGACCUCAUGAAGUCGGAGUCGCUAGUAAUCGCAGAUCAGCAACGCUGCGGUGAAUACGUUCCCGGGCCUUGUACACACCGCCC